GACGAACGCUGGCGGCGUGCUUAACACAUGCAAGUCGAACGGAAAGGCCCUGCUUUUGUGGGGUGCUCGAGUGGCGAACGGGUGAGUAACACGUGAGUAACCUGCCCUUGACUUUGGGAUAACUUCAGGAAACUGGGGCUAAUACCGGAUAGGAGCUCCUGCUGCAUGGUGGGGGUUGGAAAGUUUCGGCGGUUGGGGAUGGACUCGCGGCUUAUCAGCUUGUUGGUGGGGUAGUGGCUUACCAAGGCUUUGACGGGUAGCCGGCCUGAGAGGGUGACCGGCCACAUUGGGACUGAGAUACGGCCCAGACUCCUACGGGAGGCAGCAGUGGGGAAUAUUGCACAAUGGGCGGAAGCCUGAUGCAGCAACGCCGCGUGCGGGAUGACGGCCUUCGGGUUGUAAACCGCUUUCGCCUGUGACGAAGCGUGAGUGACGGUAAUGGGUAAAGAAGCACCGGCUAACUACGUGCCAGCAGCCGCGGUGAUACGUAGGGUGCGAGCGUUGUCCGGAUUUAUUGGGCGUAAAGGGCUCGUAGGUGGUUGAUCGCGUCGGAAGUGUAAUCUUGGGGCUUAACCCUGAGCGUGCUUUCGAUACGGGUUGACUUGAGGAGGGUAGGGGAGAAUGGAAUUCCUGGUGGAGCGGUGGAAUGCGCAGAUAUCAGGAGGAACACCAGUGGCGAAGGCGGUUCUCUGGGCCUUUCCUGACGCUGAGGAGCGAAAGCGUGGGGAGCGAACAGGCUUAGAUACCCUGGUAGUCCACGCUGUAAACGGUGGGUACUAGGUGUGGGGUCCAUUCCACGGGUUCCGUGCCGUAGCUAACGCUUUAAGUACCCCGCCUGGGGAGUACGGCCGCAAGGCUAAAACUCAAAGGAAUCGACGGGGCCCCGCACAAGCGGCGGAGCAUGCGGAUUAAUUCGAUGCAACGCGUAGAACCUUACCUGGGUUUGACAUGGAUCGGGAGUGCUCAGAGAUGGGUGUGCCUCUUUUGGGGUCGGUUCACAGGUGGUGCAUGGCUGUCGUCAGCUCGUGUCGUGAGAUGUUGGGUUAAGUCCCGCAACGAGCGCAACCCUUGUUCACUGUUGCCAGCACGUUAUGGUGGGGACUCAGUGGAGACCGCCGGGGUCAACUCGGAGGAAGGUGGGGAUGACGUCAAGUCAUCAUGCCCCUUAUGUCCAGGGCUUCACGCAUGCUACAAUGGCUGGUACAGAGAGUGGCGAGCCUGUGAGGGUGAGCGAAUCUCGGAAAGCCGGUCUCAGUUCGGAUUGGGGUCUGCAACUCGACCUCAUGAAGUCGGAGUCGCUAGUAAUCGCAGAUCAGCAACGCUGCGGUGAAUACGUUCCCGGG
rnacentral:rRNA from 1 species